GCCUGGGUGGCUCAGUCGGUUGAGCGUCCGACUUCGGCUCAGGUCAUGAUCUCGCGGUUUGUGGGUUCAAGCCCCACGUCGGGCU
rnacentral:tRNA from 1 species